CACCCUUGCCUCCAUUAUGAGGAAGCAGGCUCUGCACGUCUCAGCAAAGACCCUCUGUGUUUGAAAUCUCACACAACAGACGUCCCAUACCUGAACACGGAGGAGCCACGCUGAGCUAUAUCUAGUACUGUUGGUGCACUACAGGAGCAGCUGUUACCUGAAAGAGGCUGAAAAGGGUUUGAGAGAAGACUUGAUCCUUUUGACGUCCAAUGCUCUGUAGCAACGAGCUACUGGCAGAUUGACCCGCGAUAAGACCACCAAUACACCAACAGCCCAUCACAUCUGAAGCAGUAUCUUCACUCAUAUCCGAGGCCCUGUGUCCGAGAAGUGAAACCCACAGAGUUCCCUCCGUUCAUGAUGUACGGUGUCCAGGAAUCCGGUCGGUCUCCGUACAGCAGUGAGUACUUGGUGACCCAGUCGUACGAGUUGAAGACCCCCUGGGUGGCGACGGC